UAGGGAAUAUUGCGCAAUGGGGGAAACCCUGACGCAGCGACGCCGCGUGAGUGAUGAAGGCCUUCGGGUCGUAAAGCUCUGUUGCAGGGGAAUAAGAAAGUGAAUGUACCCUGUGAGGAAGGACCGGCUAACUUCGUGCCAGCAGCCGCGGUAAGACGAGGGGUCCUAGCGUUGUUCGGAAUCAUUGGGCGUAAAGCGUGUGUAGGUGGCUAUGUAAGUCAGGUGUGAAAUCCCCGGGCUCAACCUGGGAAGUGCAUUUGAUACUGCGUAGCUUGAGUACGAGAGAGGUAAGUGGAAUUCCUAGUGUAGAGGUGAAAUUCGUAGAUAUUAGGAAGAACACCGGUGGCGAAGGCGGCUCACUGGCUCGAUACUGACACUGAGGUGCGAAAGCGUGGGGAGCAAACAGGAUUAGAUACCCCAGUAGUCCCUGAGCGGGCUGGCAAGGCGCAU
rnacentral:rRNA from 1 species